UAUUCUUCUUUAUCUCUUUUCUUCUUCUUCUUCUGCUCCUCUGCUUUCCAUCUGAGGUUGAUUGUGAGGAUCGAUUCGAGAGAUAUUACCGAGGAAGAUGUUUAGGCGACGAAGGAGAUGAUGUUGCCAUUAAUUAUGGUGGAGAAGAAUUAAGGAUUUUUAGGGCUACGAUUCACAGAGGGAAAAGUAGAAUUAGGGUUUCGGAAGUUGGGUUCAUGAAGAACUGUUGAUGAAAUCAAGAAGUUAGAAGAUGGGUUUGUCCUCAAUUGACGAUUGUUUGAAUCUGUAGUGUUGUUUGAGGAUUAAAUUAGGAAGCUAGGGUUUGAGUUUGGUUUCAUGCAUGGAAGAAUUGAGUUGUAGGUUGAUAAUUAGAAGAUGAAAUUGAUGUUUUGAGAAGGAGAUUUGAGAUGGGUUUUAAUAGUUUGAGUGGGUUGGGGUUCAGAUGAAGAGUAAUUAUGAAUUGGAGAAGUCAGGGUUUUGAAGUUGAGAUCGAUUGAAGCUCAUGUUUGGAUUUGUUGGAGAACUAGGGUUUAAUUCUCGUAUCAAGAAGGUGAUGAAGUUACUAUUGGUGCUGGUUCAGUGAACCUAUUAUGAGGUAAUUGAUUUCUCAAUAACUUAGUAUAGUUAUUCUGUUCUGUUUUGAGUUUAUGGGUUUGUUAAUUGAACUAAGAGUUGAGAUGGAUGUGUGUGUAUUGAACGGACCUGAGGCUUUGAGAAUGUUUGGUGGUGUUGCUUUGACUGUGUUUGUGUAGCUAGUAAUGUGAUUGAGAUACAAAGUAGGAUUGAACCAAGUGGAAUUAGAUAAUGGAACUGAAAUUACAGUUAGUGUUGGCUGGAGAUAAUGUAUUUGGCAGGGAAGAAGAUUUAGUGUUUGAAAUGAAGAACAUAUAUACCUUGCUGGAGUCAUUACACUUAAUUAGAGCUAUUAGUGUUGAGAUUCACAGAUGCAGGGGUCAUUGUGGUUGCAGUGGCAGUUCAGUUGUGUUGGUGGUUUGAGAUGAUGUUGUCUGUGUAACUGAAGAUGUAGGGUAUUGUGAUUUGGUCUUGAGGUGAACUGUAAUGGGUGCAGAUGAGAAUUGUGUUGGAUAUGUAUGUAUUGAGUUGAUGAUGCUAAAACUGAACUCGGUGGUAGUGUUGUGAUGAUGUUAGGUUGGUUAUGGUAUCUGUGAAGCUGUAAUUUUGAUUGACUUAGUAGUCUUGGUUCUGGAGAGGCCGAGUCUAGUUGAACUGAUGAGACGUUGCUGAUGAGUUACAAUUGUUCAGUGGUACUGUUGUUGGUGAUUAGAGAGUAGCAGGUGAUGAUAUGAACUGAGUUUGAGUAAGGCUGUGAGAGUUUGUAAUUGAGUUAUUCAACUGAAGUUUGGUGAAUUCAGAUUGGUAGAUUGUAUUUGCUGUGAAAGCUUGUUACUGCAAUUGCAGUUUGUCUGUAUUAACAACGAUCGAUUCAAAGAAUGAACAAGUGGAUCGUGGAUCUCGAGAUAGGCAUGGCUUGUCAUCGGUGCCGGCGAAACCGAAGCACAAGCUAAGGAAAAGCAUAAAAAGAGCAGCAGAACCCAGUUGUUAUUGUGGAUAAAACCGGUUGGUGUCAUUCUCGAACCUCAUUAUACUUAUAUUUGCGUGAAUGAUAAACCAUGAUUAGCCUGAUACACUAUCUGCCUUACUGAGCAUUAUUUCCACCUACAAUUUAAGGUAUCCAUGAGCAUGAUUCUGUGAAGACUGAACAACAUAUCUACUUGUUGAAUUUGUUAUUUCACUAAGAAAUUCUUAUUCUCGGCAGAACUCGUGUCUGUAUACUUUUGGCCCUGAAUCUGUUUGCCAUUCAUACUUCCCUGAUUUACUCAUUGUUGUUUG